GAUGAACGCUAGCGGCAGGCUUAAUACAUGCAAGUCGAGUGGUAACAGUAGAAUAGCAAUAUUUUAGCUGACGACCGGCAAACGGGUGCGGAACACGUGCGAAACCUUCCCUUAUCUGGGAGAUAGCCCGAAGAAAUUCGGAUUAAUACCCCAUAAGAUAUUAGAGUGGCAUCACUCCUAUAAUUAAAACUCCGGUGGAUAAGGAUGGUCGCGCGUAUGAUUAGGUAGUUGGCGGGGUAACGGCCCACCAAGCCUACGAUCAUUAGCUGAUGUGAGAGCAUGAUCAGCCACACGGGCACUGAGACACGGGCCCG
rnacentral:rRNA from 1 species